rnacentral:rRNA from 1 species
AGAGUUUGAUCAUGGCUCAGAACGAACGCUGGCGGCGUGGAUAAGACAUGCAAGUCGAACGGAAAUCAUCGGGUAGCAAUAUUCGGUGGUUUUAGUGGCGAAAGGGUGCGUAACACGUAGCUACCUACCUCGAAAUGGGGGAUAAUCCCGCGAAGCGAGACUAAUACCGCAUGUGACUGUAAGGUCAAAGUUGGGGAUCGUAAGACCUGACGUUUCGAGAUGGGGCUGCGGCCUAUCAGGUAGUUGGCGGGGUAAUGGCCCACCAAGCCUAGGACGGGUAGCUGGUCUGAGAGGACGACCAGCCACACUGGAACUGAGACACGGUCCAGACACCUACGGGUGGCAGCAGUCGAGGAUUUUUCUCAAUGGGGGAAACCCUGAAGGAGCGACGCCGCGUGGGGGAUGAAGGUCUUCGGAUUGUAAACCCCUGUCAUCUGGGAACAAUGUUGCUCACCUAAUACGUGCGCAAUUGAUAGUACCGGAAGAGGAAGCAGUGGCUAACUCUGUGCCAGCAGCCGCGGUAAUACAGAGACUGCAAGCGUUGUUCGGAUUCAUUGGGCGUAAAGGGUCCGCAGGCGGUCGGUUAAGUCGGAUGUGAAAUCUCACAGCCUAACUGUGAUAGGUCAUUCGAUACUAGCCGGCUAGAGGAGUGGAGAGGAGACUGGAAUUGCUGGUGUAGCAGUGAAAUGCGUAGAUAUCAGCAAGAACACCGGUGGCGAAGGCGAGUCUCUGGACACUUCCUGACCCUCAGGG